AUAUCACGUUGAAACACCACUUCCCUUAAGAUCAUCGAAGUUAAGCAACGUCGAGCCUGGUCAUUACCUAGAUGGCUGACAUCUUGGGAAUAUCAGUUGUUGUAAG